rnacentral:lncRNA from 1 species
GUGCUUAAAUCCACUGCUUCAUGGCCAAGAAAUGCUUACUAUGGCACGCCGCCGCAUGACAGCACACCUAAUAGAUGAAGUCACUGAAUUGCUGGAGUAGAACAACUUGAUUGAAAGCUCUAACCCUGCUGCCGGAAGGUGGAACUACUGUGCCUUUGCAGAAACUCUACAUGAAGCUUAUCCACGAAUGGUAUGGAAAGGAAAGGAACUUCAGCAGCUUGGAUGGGCAUUUUCAGAAACUGUCACAGACCCAGAUCGAAUUGAUCUUUCAAGAAUGAACAUGCUGCUGCGUGCAAC